AUUGAACGCUGGCGGCAGGCUUAACACAUGCAAGUCGAGCGAGCGGCGGACGGGUGAGUAAUGUCUGGGAACCUGCCAGAUGGAGGGGGAUAACUACUGGAAACGGUAGCUAAUAAGGCAUACCAUCCGCUGUGCCCCGCUGGGAUUAGCUAGUAGGUGGGGUAAUGGCUAACCUAGGAGACGAUCCCUAGCUGGUCUGAGAGGAUGACCAGCCACACUGGGACUGAGACACGGUCCAGACUCCUACGUGAGGCAGCAGUGGGGAAUAUUGCACAAUGGGCGCAAGCCUGAUGCAGCCAUGCCGCGUGUGUGAAGAAGGCCUUCGGGUUGUAAAGCACUUUCAGCGAGGAGGCGUUACUCGCAGAAGAAGCACCGGCUAACUCCGUGCCAGCAGCCGCGGUAAUUC
rnacentral:rRNA from 1 species